rnacentral:rRNA from 1 species
GACGAACGCUGGCGGCGUGCUUAACACAUGCAAGUCGAACGGAAAGGCUCCAGCUUGCUGGAGUACUCGAGUGGCGAACGGGUGAGUAACACGUGGGUAAUCUGCCCUGCACUCUGGGAUAAGCCUGGGAAACUGGGUCUAAUACUGGAUAUGACCUUUCUCCUUAUGGGGUUUGGUGGAAAGUUUUUCGGUGUAGGAUGAGCCCGCGGCCUAUCAGCUUGUUGGUGGGGUGAUGGCCUACCAAGGCGACGACGGGUAGCCGGCCUGAGAGGGUGAUCGGCCACCUUGGGACUGAGAUAGGGCGCAGAAUACUACUGGAGGCAGCAGUGGGGAAUAAUGCACAAUGGUCGGAAGCCUGAUGCAGCGACGCCGCGUGAGGGAGGACGGCCUUCGGGUUGUAAACCUCUUUCAGCAGGGACGAAGCGUAAGUGACGGUACCUGCAGAAGAAGCACCGGCUAACUACGUG